rnacentral:rRNA from 1 species
AGGAAGAAUUUCUACAUUGAGACUAGUAAGUGUGAAUUAUGUGAUGAUGAACCAAAUGAACAUCUAAUGAAUCUGUUUUUUAGCUGUGAUUUCAGCCAAAACUUCUGGAUGAACAUUGGCUACCAAUGGAACACUGACCAUAACCUCAUAGAAAUGCUCCUGGAGGGAAGGAAGCAAGAUACACUUGGAUGCUUUAAAGAAUGUCUGAUUGCUGGAUGCUGGAGUCUAUGGAAACACAGAAAUAGCAUAAUUUUUGACAACAGGGUCAAAAAUAUGACAUUCUGUAUUGCCACUUUCAAGGAGCACAUUUGCAUGAUUAUAAAGAAGGCAAAACCAGGAUUGAAAGAGGGCAUGCAAAGCUGGCUAGAUCAUUUGUAG